rnacentral:lncRNA from 1 species
GUCGUCGAUUAGUUUGUUUUCCUUCAGAAGCAUAUUAACAAUUAAAGUUAAAACAAAAAUAAUAAUUUAUAACUAAUAUCUACGCUUGUGUAUUAUGAUGCGUUGUCUGUUUUCAAAGUUUAAUCUCUAAACUUUUAUCACAAAAUAUUAUAUAUUAAAGUGGCAAGUGCAAUUUGAGGGAUCAGCGUACCAAUGUGACUCUGUUUCUAGCUUAAGAGAAAUGUCUAAUCGUUGAACUAUCAUUAGUUAUAAUGAGGUUUCCUGAUGCACUUGAGCCAUUAAAAAUCAAAUACCUUGUUACUGUAGCUUACAGUACACAGAUGUAUUAGUAUCG